UUACGGGAGGCAGCAGUCGCGAAAACUUCGCAAUGGGGGAAACCCCGACGAGGGAAUUCCAAGUGCUAGCACUUUGUGUUAGCUGUUCUUCUGUCUAAAAAACAGGAGAAGUAAGGGGCGGGUAAGACGGGUGCCAGCCGCCGCGGUAAUACCCGCGCCCCGAGUGGUGGUCGAUAUUAUUGAGCCUAAAACGUCCGUAGCCGGUCUUCUAAAUCCUUGGGUAAAUCGGGCAGCUUAACUGUCCGAAUUCCGGGGAGACUGGGAGACUUGGGACCGGGAGAGGUCAGAGGUACUUCUGGGGUAGGGGUAAAAUCCUGUAAUCCUGGAAGGACCACCGGUGGCGAAGGCGUCUGACUAGAACGGAUCCGACGGUGAGGGACGAAGCCCUGGGGCGCAAACGGGAUUAGAUACCCCGGUAGC
rnacentral:rRNA from 1 species